AUUUUUGGUAAAUUAUGUGAUAUCCCUGAUACUGCUGUUUAGUUUUUCCAUCUACAAUGCGCAUCUCGUGUGGGCUAGUCAUAAGAAUAGUGUGAAAAUGCUAAAUAUUUUAUUCAAAGUUGGUGCUUUACUUUGGAUAUUCAAGUUUUUGUACUGCAGUGUAUAUAUUGGCUACUUUCUUAUGUCUGCGAUUUUUAGAGUUACCGAGCAAAACAGCGAUCCAAAAAUGGUCCAAGUUAAAUUUUUACUGGCAUGGGUCUUGUUAGAACCAGUUUUUCAACUGUACGGCCUCCUACUAAUACGCAGUUUUAUGUUAAAACUACGAGGAGAAAAUCACUGCGUUGGAUAUAUGGAUGUUGAUGAAAACAAUGAUGUGGAGUUGGACCGCGCACCACUAAUCGUUCAACCCAUAUAACCUACUGAACCCAAUGUUGAGUCAAAUUAAAUUGAUAUGUCGGAUUAUUAGAUUAUAUGUCUAUUUUGUGCAAAUGAACGGCUUCCUUAAGAGGAAAUUUUAAUUUUUCUCUCUGUAUAUUGACAUCAUGGAAAGUAUUUUUACAUUAUAUGAUUUUAUAUUAACCAUUGACGUGCCUCUAAUUUUGCAUUUUUUUAUUUUUUUAUUAUUGUUAAAAAUAGGAGCGAAAACCGAUUUCAUACAAAUUUUUAAAUGACUUAUCAUAAUAAUAAAUUAAAUAAGUGGUUGGAUCAAGGGUCAGAUGCAGAAGGCGGUGAUCUUGGACACGGCGCGGAUAGUGCGGCGGUUCCUCUCUCUGCAGCCCUGACCACCGGCAGCUUGGGCCCUGCCCCGCUGCUGGCGGCACACUAGGUUAAGUUUUUUACAAUGUGUUUAUAUGUGUUUUGUAUAGUAUUUUUUAAUGUAUUUUUAUAUUUUACUUUUGUAUCCAUAUUGUAAAAAACAUAACCCUAAGAAGAAAGAGAAAUAAAGGAAUUAAAUAAAAAAAAUCAAACGUCCCCUCCGUUUGAUUUUACAUAGGUGUGGUUGAUUAUACAACAAAUUGUGUCAAAUUAUUUUCAAUAAUGUUAAUAUCCAGAGAGGAAAAUGAGGACUACGUUUGUAUGAAAACACGAUUUCACGCGGGUCCUCCACUUUCGUCUUAAUACAGAGGUUGCGGUGCGGUCCAAACAGCAUCCUAUACAUAGUGGAAGGUGUACGCAAAAAAAACACUGGGGAGUAUUGAGUAAUUUUUUUAUAUGGGGUUUUUUCAGAAACCUAUUGAUUUUUUUUAAGAACUGCGGGUGAACAAUUUUGUUUCGACCUCUAUAAUGUGUGUGCCAAAUGGCUAAACUGUACAUCGUUUUGCGGUUUUUGUUUGGAAUCAGGCUCGUACGCUGUCCACUAACACGAUUGCAGAUCGGUGUCAGGGCUCCUCUACGAAACGGCCAAGCGUAGGCCAGUCUAAUGGACGCCGCUUUGCAGUGGAAUGAGAUAGCAAUAUCACUUACUCCCUCUAACGUAUAAAUACGUCCCUUGGACUGGCCUGCGCUGGGCCAUCGUGUAGAGGAGCCAUCAGGGGCUUCCAGGAGCACUGGGACUUUUUGCAUUGCUCACGUCACGGGGAUAUGUUUGAUGAUUGUCUCACUGUGAUAAAUAUAUGAAGCUAUACUAACAAUAGUUCUAAGUCAACUUUUUCUUACUAACAACUAUGGAUAUGUUGCUGAAAUAAAUGUUUUGAAGUGAA